rnacentral:lncRNA from 1 species
UUGAGACGAGAUGUGAGACAUGUUCGUAGCGGUCGAUAGGGCUUCCGACCCGGUUGGUUUAGUUUAGUAGCUACCCUUUUUAUAUCUGUUGUUAUAUCUUUGAUAUAUUGGUUCAGUUGAUUUUUGUUCAAUUGGAUAAAUGUGAUUUUAGUAAAUGAAUUAAAGAACGUAUGGUUUUCUUUGAGAUGAAAACGGUUUUCUACCCCUCUUGGUAGCGUGUUUUAAAAAGAAAAAGGUUUCUAUGUGGGAAACGGUUUUGAAAAGGUUUUCUCAUGGUUUUCAUAAAGUAGUAUUUCAAAAUGAUUUUUCGGGUAGGAAACAUUUCAACUGAUAGAUGUGGAUUUAUGUUCAAAUCUCUGUAUAUGAAGCUAUGGUGAAUGGUGUAUGGAUGUACGAAUAUAUGGAUAUUUGUAUGUUCAGUGAUAGUGGUUGUAUCCUGGUUAUACUCUUGUACUCGUGCGACGCCGUGCAAAUACAGGGGAGACUCUGUCCGUGUGAACAGUGGGCUCUCUGUAUUUGU